UACGUAGGGGGCAAGCGUUGUCCGGAUUUAUUGGGCGUAAAGAGCUCGUAGGCGGCUCGGUAAGUCGGAUGUGAAACCUCCAGGCUCAACCUGGAGACGCCAUCUGAUACUGCCGUGGCUUGAGUCCGGUAGAGGAGCAGGGAAUUCCUGGUGUAGCGGUGAAAUGCGCAGAUAUCAGGAGGAACACCAGCGGCGAAGGCGACAUACUGGCUCAUUACUGACGCUGAGGCGCGAAAGCGUGGGGAGCAAACAGG
rnacentral:rRNA from 1 species